rnacentral:rRNA from 1 species
UACGAAGGGGGCUAGCGUUGCUCGGAAUCACUGGGCGUAAAGCGCACGUAGGCGGAUUGCUAAGUCAGGGGUGAAAUCCUGGAGCUCAACUCCAGAACUGCCUUUGAUACUGGCGAUCUUGAGUCCGGGAGAGGUGAGUGGAACUGCGAGUGUAGAGGUGAAAUUCGUAGAUAUCGGGAGGAACACCGGUGGCGAAGGCGGCAUCCUGGACCGAUAUUGACGCUGAGGCGCGAAAGCCAGGGGAGCAAACGGG